CAUUAUUUUUUGUGUUUAUCUGUGGUUUAUAUUUACAAAAAAAAAAUCAUGUCAUUUACCUAACUUGAGGGUACUUUCAGAAAAAAUCUGAUACAAAUGUUGGGUGUGGUUUUAGUUUAUUAGUGAUUAGUGAGAGAGAUGUGAAAAAUUAUCAAAUUGUGUGAAAUAAUGAAGUUGAAACACAUGGACAUUUGGACGAAAAACCAGUCUGGUACAUGUCAGAUUUUCGGCUUCUCGCAGAAAUGAAUAAAUAACAUCGAGCCGAAGAAGAAAUAUGCACCUUAAGCCCAAUGCAAAAAGGGUUUAUUAGCUUAAAGCUACUUGAAUGUAUUAUUUUGUGUACUUUUUAGCUGCUAACGGUGACAAUUCUGUAGAAAUAAUCGCACGAGAAUUUCAGAAUUUAAGAAAGGCUCUCUUUCACUUCGAAGCAGAUAAAAAGAUACAAGACUAUUGAAAUCAAAAGUAAAUAAAACUAGCUCAAACACCGUUUAACUAUAAAAUUAUGUAUCUCUUUCAUUAAUGGGCAUUCAGUACUUGUCAAAAAGUGACAAAGCAUUAAACAAAAUCGAGAACCAACAGCACAUGGUUUACUAGAGUAGUACAAGAAAAUCGCCUCUAUUUUUACCUGAGUAUACAUUUAGACAAAUCCAAAAUAUUCCCUAUUGUAAUCCUAACAGAUUGAAUUACGCCAAAUCUUUGUGUAUAGUUCUUCUGUAUCAUGCACUAAACUAAUACCUCGCGGGUACUACUGGAUUGCUACUGGGCUGUUUGAAUCUAUUUAGAAUAAUAUUAUAUUUCGUCUAAACUAUUUCACUAUCCUAUUAAUAGAAAAGCUACAUUACAGCUCAGAAAUUAUUUAAAUGAGAUGAAGCUUGAUCAGAAAAUAAAACCAUGGCUCACAGAUAUACAAUUUUCAAACUGUCAAUUUGACUUUCCCUGACGAAUGUGCCUAAGCAAGCUCAACAAUGAUAAAUCCCUGAGAGGUAUAAAGAUUAAGAAUAUUUAUCCACAACACUUAAUGCAUCGUGUUUGGGUAUACUGAUAUCAAUUUAUAUCCUACAUCAUCCUAUUCUGUUCAUAGUUAUUUAAUUUUUUAGCGUUAAGAGUUACA